UACGGAGGGGGCCAGCGCUGUUCGGAAUCAUUGGGCGUAAAGGGCGCGUAGGCGGCCGAUCAAGUCGGAGGUGAAAUCCCUCGGCUCAACUGAGGAAUUGCCUCCGAUACUGUUCGGCUUGAGUCCUGGAGAGGGUAGUGGAAUUCCCGGUGUAGCGGUGAAAUGCGUAGAGACCGGGAAGAACACCAGUGGCGAAGGCGGCUACCUGGACAGGUACUGACGCUGAAGCGCGAAAGCUAGGGGAGCAAACAGG
rnacentral:rRNA from 1 species